rnacentral:lncRNA from 1 species
UUGCAGUGCAGUGAUAGAGGCUGGUGAUAUCGCUACCGAGCAGGAACUUCUUAUGAGACAGACAGAGCAAACCUUUUCAGAACCAUGGCAAGCCAAGAAGAAGCAAAGAGAAUGUAUGUGCCAGACAUGGCUUGCAAACUCCCAAUAUGAGCACCUGCUGUCGACAUUUGGAGAUCCACCCUAAAGACAAGUGCGAAGCCAUGAGGAAUAAACUGACAUAGGAACCCUGUUUUGUUAAUAUUUUUUAAAAUGAUAUAUCUGACUAACUACAUCUGCUUCUCACCAAGGUUUCCAAAAUGGUUUACAAACACAGGAGUCAUUUUUUAACAGGGUUAUAGUGAAACAAUUGGGACUGGAUCAUGAUCAUUCUCAAGCUUGAAAUGAUUGACGUAGAGAGCCUGAGAGAUAUGGAACUGUCUAAGGAGUGAUAUGUUUAAUUGAAUAUAUGUAUUUAGAAUGUUGUGUAAAGAUACAGGUGUGUAUACACAACACACACACACAUGCAGGUUUGGAACCUCACCUUUGAGAUUUCACUGCUUCCCGUUGGACUUUAUACCAUAGCAAAUGUGUGAAUGUGAAAAUUUCUCCUCCUUCUCUUAGUAUCUUAGCAAGAAUUUCUACUUCAGUGCUUUCUGGAAUGAUUCCUUCAGGUGUAAACUUACGAUUUUUAGAGUUUUUCAAAAUCAAACAUCUAAGAAAUGUAGCAUCUGAACAAUGGAAGUUUUUCAGUGGAAGUAUUGUUUGGACUUUUUUUUUCCAGGAUUUUUGUUUCUUACCAUGCAAAGUGUUCCUCAAAACAACUGAAAGGCAGCAGAUAAGGGGUGUGUAGAUCAUUCCAAAAUACUAAGAAACCAGAGCUUCAUGUCUAAGAGUUUCCAUAAACUUGGUGGUGUUUAUGAGCCUAGGGAGCUGUGCUGGCUGAGUUGUACACCUGUUGAAAUAAGAACAUUGGCUCCCCACAAGAGUCCCUUGAUUUAGAAAAUAACAGUUCAUGUUAUCAUCCACUGUAAAGUAAACGAUACUGUGACAUUUUACACUUGAUUUUGGAAGCCCAUGAGGAUAACAGCACUCAGCUGUUUACAAUGACUGUUUUCUCCUCAAAUGUAUCCAGAGGUUUGCUUUGAACCAUAGGAAGCUAUUAACAAUUUUGGAACAAUUUUGGCC